CGGGCGCAGCCAGCUGAUUGGAGAGAAGGAGGAUGUUGCUGAGCGCUAUUGGACGGGGAUGGAGGACAGGAGCAGGAAGUGACAGAACUGAGGUCACCAAUCAAUCUCAAGGAUGCACUUGAGUCAGAAAUACCAGAGAUUGCAGAAUUGCUGGAGCGAGAAGUGGCAGGAUGUGGCCAUGGAUCUGAACACCGCCCAGGCAGAACUAGAGGAACCCAGAGAGAAGAAACCUGGCUAUUUACUUCAAGAAAAGGACAACUGAUGGUGGAGGUUGAGUCACUUCAGACAGAGAGGGGCAGAGAGACAAGUGAGUAUGGACCUCUGUGAUGUGUACACUACAUGGCUCUGUGAUGUGUACACUACAUGGCUCUGUGAAGUGUACACUACAUGGCUCUGUGAAGUGUACACUACAUGGCUCUGUGAUGUGUACACUACAUGGCUCUGUGAUGUGUACACUACAUGGCUCUGUGAAGUGUACACUACAUGGCUCUGUGAUGUGUACACUACAUGGCUCUGUGAAGUGUACACUACAUGGCUCUGUGAAGUGUACACUACAUGGCUCUGUGAUGUGUACACUACAUGGCUCUGUGAAGUGUACACUACAUGGCUCUGUGAAGUGUACACUACAUGGCUCUGUGAAGUGUACACUACAUGGCUCUGUGAUGUGUACACUACAUGGCUCUGUGAAGUGUACACUACAUGGCUCUGUGAUGUGUACACUACAUGGCUCUGUGAAGUGUACACUACAUGGCUCUGUGAAGUGUACACUACAUGGCUCUGUGAUGUGUACACUACAUGGCUCUGUGAUGUGUACACUACAUGGCUCUGUGAAGUGUACACUACAUGGCUCUGUGAAGUGUACACUACAUGGCUCUGUGAUGUGUACACUACAUGGCUCUGUGAUGUGUACACUACAUGGCUCUGUGAUGUGUAGCUCUGUGAUGUGUACACUACAUGGUACCCUGAGCUUGUACAAAUAUAAAUUCCUGACUGUCUACGCCUAUAACCAUAACAUUACUAAGAAAUCUGUUCUUCCUCAAGGAAGAGAUUCAGAAUCUUCUUCUGCACUGGGCCAGUACAGAGGUAGAGCUGUGCAGAGUCAGAAAACAUACUGGUUAUCUGUUGAAGGUAGAGCUGGAUGCUUGUAAACAACAGUUGGAGCUGGAGAGGAGCAUGAGUCAGGCUCUGCACAACACACUCAAAGAUAAAGGCAACCCUCAUAUUUUGGGAUUAAAUCUCAUAUAUUUGGAUUAAACCACAUAUUUUGAUAUUAAACCUCAUAUUUUGAUAUUAAACCUCAUAUGUUGAUGGUACAGAGCACAAGGGGGCGAUACACUCCUGUUUUUUACUGCAGGUGGGGAAGCAGUACACACUUCUGAUAAAGGGACAGAGACAGAGUGAGUAUGAGCCGAUUCUUCAAUAUAUAACAGUUUAGUAUUUUCUAUGGAUCUAGAUUUUAGAACUAGGACGACUUGCAUAAGCAUAGUAACGUAUACAUUCUGAUGAAUCCUAACCGUGUCUUUCUGUUGUCUGUCUCUAGACUCUAAAUGCAAUACAUCUUGAUUUUUACAGAGACAAAGGAACAUUUUACAUUUUUUAUGUCCUACUAUACCACUGCAGACACAGGCUGCACAGGUGUCUUUGGAGGAGUCGGAUGGUGAGUGAGGCCAGGUGAGGGCAGAGCUACAGAUGGUGCCCCUGGAGGAGGUGGCUGGGGCCAGGUGAGGGCAGAGCUACAGGAGGUGCCCCUGGAGGAGGUGGAUUGGGGCCAGGUGAGGGCAGAGCUACAGAUGAUGUCCUGGAGAAGGUGUUAAAGAUCUAUCUAUCUAUCUAUCUAUCUAUCUAUCUAUCUAUCUAUCUAUCUAUC